rnacentral:rRNA from 1 species
UACGGAGGGGGCUAGCGUUGUCCGAAGUUACUGGGCGUAAAGGGUGCGUAGGCGGCGCGGUAAGUCGGGUGUGAAAUCUUGGAGCUUAACUCCGAAACUGCAUUCGAUACUGCCGUGCUUGAGGACUGGAGAGGAGACUGGAAUUUACGGUGUAGCGGUGAAAUGCGUAGAUAUUCGCAAGAACACCAGUGGCGAAGGCGGCUCACUGGCCCGGUACUGACGCUGAGGUGCGAAAGCGUGGGGAGCAAACAGG